AUGUUAUUGAACUUUCCAGUCUUUCAUGAGGCAUCCAUUGUGUUGUCUGAAAAGAUUGACAAAAAGCUCAUGAUUUGCCUCGAUUCACUCGAUACCAGUGUUGUCAAAUGCAGAUUGCAGAAAACUGCAGUUUGUUUAUACUCCACUAUGCAACAGUGCUACAGCACUGCUAUUUCUCAAUAUUUUGUAGUAAAUAUUGUACCGCGGAACAAUAGCGAUCUGUUUAAAUUCCACUAUUUAACAACAUUGAUGGAUAUAUAG